rnacentral:rRNA from 1 species
AACGAACGCUGGCGGCGUGGAUUAGGCAUGCAAGUCGAACGAGAAAGGGUUCGCAAGAACCCGAGUAAAGUGGCGAAAGGGUGAGUAGUACCUAGGUAACCUGCCCUGAAGACGGGAUAACGUCUCUAACGGGACGCUAAUAACCCGAGUGUGUCGGCGCGGCCGCAUGGUCGUGCCGGUAAAAGGUAAGCCUCUGUUUACAAGCUUCCGCUUCUGGAGGGC